ensembl:lncRNA
UGGGAAGAUCCCUUGGAGGAGGGCAUGGCAACCCACUCCAUGUGUUCUUGCCUGGAGAUAUUCCAGGGACAGAGGAGCCCCACGGGCGGGCUACAAAGAUUUGGAAACGACUGAAGUAACUUAGCAUGCAUACAUACUUAGCUUCUAGUUGGAAGAAAAGCAACCAUGGAGGACAACCCCUGAGGUGCCAUCCACACUCACCGUGUCUCUGCCUGUCAUACAUCUGACUCCCUCAUCCACAGGGUGGCAACCUGGGAGCCAUUAUUAGAUUAGAUGACUCACGGCCCAGCCAUAGUUGUUUGGAUCAGGAGAGAACAUUGAAUCCAAACUGUCAAUCAGAUCCUGAUUCACUUCAAAACUUCAAGUUUGAUCCAAAACUCUCCCCGUCCUCUCAGCACACAUGAGGCUCAUGGCCCCAGUGACUUGUGUGUGAAUCUGUGUGUUUGUGCACAUGACUGAUGGAGGAGUGCACUGUUCUCUCACAGAAGCCCCACUUGUUCCACAGUGGACCCUUCUAGCACGUGGAGAGGAAGCAGAAGAGGGAGGUGUCUCCUGAGGUGAAGAGGUCUCCUCACUCCAGGUGGCACUCUUUAGGAAUUCAAGUCGAAACAGGCCUAGAAAGAAGCCUGUGAGAGGUCUGGUGACUCCAGGCCUGAAGUCUCCCCCAACAUUCCUCUGCACCCAGAGCCCCUCUGCUUCACCCCUCGAUGGUCCUUGACAAGCCUGCCACCUCCGAUCGUAUAUCUUCUGUGGUCCCAACUCUGGGGUCUAGGAGGAGGUGAGGGGGCUCAUGCUCUAUCAUGAGGGUCUGGGAAACUGCGAGUGUGUUCACUGCACCCCCCCACCCCCACUCCACCUUCUGAUCCCACCAUCACAUCUUGGGCUUCCAUGCUUACUCCCCUAUUGGUAUCUGAGGUGGAUCCGCAAGACCAGUGCUCACCAGUCAUGCAAACAGGGCCUGGGGUGUCAAAUUUCUCUUUCUUUUUAGACACCCAUCAGCUU